ensembl:lncRNA
AGAGAGAGAGAGAGAGAGAGACCAGCCCCCGGCCUCGGGGAGGGAGGUUCCUGAGUUACACUGCACAGCGUUUGACUCGUUAGUUCUACGUAUAGCUCCUAGAGAGAUGGCAGAUGUCGCUCCCGCACCAGACUUUGUCUGCCAAAGCGCAAGAAGAAAGCAGCUUCGAGGACCAACAAAGCCAGACCUAGCAUCGGCGAACUCAUAUCCGUCCAGAGAGAGAGAGAGAGAGAGAAUUUCCGGAAUCGCCUCUAAAGACAUCAGUACACCGCCAUAGGGAAAACAACAGUCUACACCUCCACAAGGAAGUAAAAAAUUUGGACCUCGUCGUCGAUAAGCGAACGAGAAAUCAUCAGAACGGCAAUGGACUUUUUAAUUCAUUUUCUCUGAUGCCACUUAUACCUCUGCAUAUAUUUGGAGCUUCUUGUAGCCUAUACAAACUAGCGCGACGGAAUUUAAAACCAAGCUUCAUUCAUGUGACUGCUGUUUGUUUCGACUGCUGUCCAUACACCUGUGCUGGAUUUGUCGGUCAUGGUGGACUGCGUCUUUGUAUUAUGGCCCGAGUUCAGACUACAAGCAGUGUCUCAUCUUGUGACGGCAGAAGAGUCGAAGUUGCUGCUGAAUUUGCACACAAUCAUAAGACGCUUCUCGCUAUGAGGAUGUGGACGGCACGUCGCGCAGCGGUGACUUUUUAGUUGAUUUUUUUUAUUAGUGGCAGGUUUAGUGCAGCUCAUAUGCUUAUGGUAUUUUCAGGUGAGAAACUUUGGAGGAUAUUAAUUUCAGUCGGUGGAGGAUGAUGUGACAGACCGCUCAACGCCGACUUCAGUAACUCGCAGAUCAAGUAAACCACCGCUAGCACAAUCCUUAGUUCUGGCGGUGGUUUACUUGAUCUGCGGGUAACUGCAGUAACUCCUCCCAGUAGCAUUUCUCCUCCUCAUACCAUUGACUUGAAUAGAAUUUCCGAAACUCAAUGGGAGGGGCGGAGAAAAUGAAACCCAAAUGAGAGCUUUAAAAAUGAGAGCACUACAGGGUUUUACUGCCUGUUCUCUAGUGGACAGUGCACUGUCAACAUCUCCCAAUCACUAUCUUGAAAACAAAGACGAAGCUGUACGAGAUAACCAGCGACGCUGGAAAAUCACAACGGAUCUGCAAGAGAAAUGGAAGAGCGGAAAGAGAAACGAUAACAGACCGGCUCAGAAAAAUCGGAGGGGAAAGAGAAACAGUAACAGACCGGCUCUGAAAAAUCGGAGCGGAAAGAGAAACGGUAACAGACCGGCUCUGAAAAAUUGGAGCGGAAAGAGAAACGGUAACAGACCGGCUCUGAAAAAUCGGAGCGGAAAGAGGAACGGUCAGCUGGAUAGUUGCUGGAAACGACAUCGAAAUGGCUGCAACUCAAACCAUCUGUGAUGGUGUAUGCACUGCAGCACUCAGCUGUCUGCCUGCGAUCUGCCAGAUGUUCACUACCGUCUGUGCAUGUGGAGAAGAGAGUCAUGAUGGCGAUGCAGUGACAGAGGGCUCAGCAGAGUCAGAAGAAGGUGUUAAACUCUCAGUGGAGGAGACUGAACCAGCAGGGACCCAAAGCUCAGUGCAUCCCUUCUUCUCCACACAGCCAUGAAAGACAUCAUCUGUUAUAACAGGAAAUGAGAAAAAUCAUAUCUCCCAAGUCCAGUAGGAUACAAUGGACUACUUGCACAAACUCUUCUACAUAUAUGACCACCACCAUCACCACCACUGUCAUCAAAACCACCACCAUCACCACCACCAUCAUCAAAACCACCACCACCAUCACCACCAUCAUCAAAACCACCACCACCAUCACCACCAUCAUCACCAUCACUACCAUCACCACCAUCAUCACCAUAAACACCAUAACCACCACCAUCACCACCACCACCACUAUCAUCACCAUCACCACCACCACCAUCACCAUCACCACCACAAAAUCACUGGGAAGCUUUCCGUGAAGAUUAAAGCUGAUGCUGCAAUGAGAAACACUGCAGUGCUCAUGAUAUUUCUUCAGUUCUCAUUGAAAAUAUUCGUUUUUAAACACUUUGUGGUGGACACUCAUUUUGAUCACAUUACAAAGGAAAAUAAGCAGUACUGACAAAUGUAAACAAUGAUACCAGAGACACAACAUAUUUUUGUGCUUGUAAUUGUAUAUAUUUUCUGUCAAGUGUAUAUCUAGUUUUUUUUUAAGAUGUUAAAUUAAAUAAAAAUAUAUUUAUAGACUUUCCCAGUGG